rnacentral:rRNA from 1 species
UAAUACGGAGGGAGCUAGCGUUGUUCGGAAUUACUGGGCGUAAAGCGCACGUAGGCGGCGAUCUAAGUCAGAGGUGAAAGCCUGGAGCUCAACUCCAGAACUGCCUUUGAGACUGGAUUGCUAGAAUCCGGGAGAGGUGAGUGGAAUUCCGAGUGUAGAGGUGAAAUUCGUAGAUAUUCGGAAGAACACCAGUGGCGAAGGCGGCUCACUGGACCGGCAUUGACGCUGAGGUGCGAAAGCGUGGGGAGCAAACAGG